GCAGCAGUGAGCAUGCGCGGUGGCGGGUCCCGCCUCCCUUAGCGGCCGCCGGGGAGCCAUGGAGGAGCCGGGCGGGUGCUGUGGCUGCGGCCGCGUCGGAGGAGCAGUCAUGGAAAGCUUCCUGUUUGGAAGUGGGCCCCAAAAAGAAGGAACCUGAAAUUGCUGCUUCUGAUACAACUGUCACUGGGAAGAAUGGGACAAGGACUGAGGGACAAAUUCUUGUCAGCCUGGCAGAGAGGCAGUAAAUUGUGCUGGAAGAAUAUCCACCUGUGGGAUGAUGAUGAUCUACAGCCUUAAACUGAGCCUGGAAAGGAAACCACGUUAUUUUGAAGGAAAACCUCACAUGGAACAUGUGAGAGAGAUUAUUGGAUGGAAGAUCUCUUGAAAGCAAGAAGUGUGUUGGUGUGAAUGUUUUUUGCAUAAACAAAAUGUCUGGAAACACUCCAGGAAGGCUAUGAGAGGUUAGUGAGCAGCUGAAGACACAUUUGGGAUUGCUGCUGCCUCAUCUGCUGCCCCUGCAGUUCCAGCUGGUUGUCUCUGGAUGGUUUGGCUGAAGGUCUCUGUCUGUCUGCGGAGCUGCACCAAAAUUCUUCAGUUCAAAGGGAGGAUGGUCCUGUUUUCUUGGCUUUUUGAGAGCUUUGGUUUUACCAAGAAAGAGCAUCGUGGUUUGGGUGCUGUGUUCAGCCAGAAUGGUGCCUCUGGUCCCUUUUUCAGGGAGAAGCUGGAGCUUGGUGCUAAAGAAAAGGAGUUAAGGUGCCUGCAAAGGCAUGACAGGCUGUGCUGGAAGUUGGGAGUGGUUGUGUCUUUGUAUCCUGGUUUUGGUUGGGACGUUGGGCAGGUGUACCCUACUGAUUUAUUUCACCUCCUUUGGCUCUCCUGCUUGAAAUAAAAACGUCAUACCCCUCUGUCCCUUCCAUAAUCCCAGGGUCAUUAUUUAUCCUGUUAUGGCUGGUUGAUGGGCAGAGGAAUUGCUGCCUCAAGUCUGGUUCCACAGCAGAUGGGAGACAGUUCACUGACGAGCUUCAAGCAAGUCCUCCUGUGUGAGACAAAGAGAGUCUUAGUUCAAAAGCUCUGCAGAGGAAGUGGUGCAGUAUUUCUGUGGCUUCCAGCUAAUUUAAUUUUUAAUUUUUUCCUACCACUAAUGGCAGACAGAAGGGCCCUGGCCCCCCAGCAUGCCAGCUGCUCCAUCUCGCACCCAAGCUCCCCUUGCUCCUGCCACCCUCCACUGUGCCUGUGAGGGCAGGGCGGGGGCGUUCCCCAGAAGGGCAGUUCAGGCCGUGCUGAUGCAGGUUUUAGCUGUAGCUGAUUUGGCUCUGCCUGUUCAUCCUUCUAGCAGCGAGUGCCUUUCACAGACAGUGACUCCGUCCCGACCGUUCUGUGCUGUGCACUCACGUUUUAUCGUGUACAGUGUGCAUUCCCCCUGCUUUAUUACUCGUGCCCUUUCUCCACUGUGUCACUGCUCUGUACGUCUUCCAGCUUUCACCUAUGUGCUAUCCUAGCCUCUUAAUGAAAAUAAAUUAAUAAGUACAGGAA